rnacentral:rRNA from 1 species
CGACCGCUGGCGGCGUGCCUACUACAUGCACGUCGAGCGGACGAAUCGAAAGCUUGCUUUUGAUUCGUUAGCGGCGGACGGGUGAGUAACACGUGGGCAACCUGCCCUGUAGACGGGGAUAACACCGAGAAAUCGGUGCUAAUACCGGAUAACACGAAAUGUCGCAUGACGUUUCGUUGAAAGACGGCGCAAGCUGUCGCUACAGGAUGGGCCCGCGGCGCAUUAGCUAGUUGGUGAGGUAACGGCUCACCAAGGCGACGAUGCGUAGCCGACCUGAGAGGGUGAUCGGCCACACUGGGACUGAGACACGGCCCAGACUCCUACGGGAGGCAGCAGUAGGGAAUCUUCCGCAAUGGACGAAAGUCUGACGGAGCAACGCCGCGUGAGCGAAGAAGGCCUUCGGGUCGUAAAGCUCUGUUGUUAGGGAAGAACAAGUAACGCAGUAACUGGCGUUACCGUGACGGUACCUAACGAGAAAGCCACGGCUAACUACGUG